UAGUAAGAGUAAGGUCCCCUAAAAAAUGGAAAAACUAAAUGCUUCUGAGCUGGUUUCUAUGGGUUCUCUCCAAUGGGAAUUAUUCGCGAAAAACAAAAGAAGGGGAAUAUUGAAAAAUAUCUUUGUUCGAUUCCAUCUUGUAAUGAAAAUCCAUGUUUCAUGUAAAUUAGUAAUCCUCUGUUUGAUGAUCCAUCCCUCUUUGACAUCAAGGUGAUUCUAAAUUUUUAACGAACUUCUUCGCCUGCUCCAAUGUUAGAAACAUAAUGACAUUCCACGAUCCCAAGCGUCCAAAAUUUGGGAUAAAGCCUUUAUAGAAAGCCAAAGGCCCAUCAUUCUUCAAUGUCUUGACAAAACAAUCAAGAGUGUUUUUGUAUGCGGAAUCUCCCAUCAUUCUUGACUUUACCACAUCAACAGGGGACCCUAUGCAAACUGCAAAAAAUCCAGCUCCAAGCCCCGCAAUCAAAUGAGUAACAACAUUGUCUGUGAACCCAGGAAUCCUGAGAACAGCCUCCUUCACUUGAUCAUAACUUGCUAAUUCAGCUGCAUUGAUGAUGGCAUUCCGCCCAAUAUUGGGUCCAAGACCAGUCCACAGAGCUCGAACUCCUUCCUGUUUCACUAUAGUUGAGUAAGCAUUUAGAGCUCCAGAAUAACGCCUUGGCACGCCUGCUGGCAAUUUCCCUUCAGCUUGAAGACGUACUUUAACUAGAUCUGUAGGAUUUGCAACUGUAAUGCCCAACGCACCAGUUGUAAGUGCAGCAAGUAUUUUCUUAGACAAUGGCACAUCCCCAACAUGAUCUUUGCCAACAUAUAAGUUUUUAACAGGUUCAUACAUCCCAAUCCGAAGACCUCCGUAUAUACAUUGACGAUGUAACCCAGGUACGAUACCCUUCCAUAGUGAAGCUACUCCUUCUUCCUUUGCAAUGGU
rnacentral:misc_RNA from 1 species